GAUGAACGCUGGCGGCGUGCCUAAUACAUGCAAGUCGAGCGAACAGACGAGGAGCUUGCUCCUCUGACGUUAGCGGCGGACGGGUGAGUAACACGUGGAUAACCUACCUAUAAGACUGGGAUAACUUCGGGAAACCGGAGCUAAUACCGGAUAAUAUAUUGAACCGCAUGGUUCAAUAGUGAAAGGCGGUUUUGCUGUCACUUAUAGAUGGAUCCGCGCCGCAUUAGCUAGUUGGUAAGGUAACAGCUUACCAAGGCAACGAUGCGUAGCCGACCUGAGAGGGUGUUCGGCCACACUGGAACUGAGACACGGUCCAGACUCCUACGGGAGGCAGCAGUAGGGAAUCUUCCGCAAUGGGCGAAAGCCUGACGGAGCAACGCCGCGUGAGUGAUGAAGGUCUUCGGAUCGUAAAACUCUGUUAUUAGGGAAGAACAAAUGUGUAAGUAACUAUGCACGUCUUGACGGUACCUAAUCAGAAAGCCACGGCUAACUACGUG
rnacentral:rRNA from 1 species